GACGAACGCUUGCGGCGUGCCUGAGAAAUGCAAGUCGAGCGGGCUUACCGGGAGAACCGAGGGGUUCUUCCGCAGUGAGGGGGACCCUUGGGUUCUCCUGGUAAGCUAGCGGCGAACGGUUGAGGAACACGUAAGGAACCUGCCCUGAAGACGGGGAUAAGCCAUCGAAAGGUGGUCUAAUACCGGAUGAGCCGGGAGGGGGGCAUCCCCCUUCCAGGAAAGGGAGCAAUCCGCUUCAGGAGGGCCUUGCGGCCUAUCAGCUAGUUGGUGGGGUAACGGCCUACCAAGGCGACGACGGGUAGCUGGUCUGAGAGGAUGGUCAGCCAGACUGGGACUGAGACACGGCCCAGACUCCUACGGGGGGCAGCAAUCAGGGAUCUUGCGCAAUGGGCGAAAGCCUGACGCAGCGACGCCGCGUGGGUGAGGAAGUCCCUCGGGAUGUAAGCCCUUUUGUCGGGGACGAUAAUGACGGUACCCGACGAAUAAGCCCCGGCUAACUACGUGCCAGCAGCCGCGGUAAUACGUAGGGGGCGAGCGUUGUCCGGAGUUACUGGGCGUAAAGGGCGCGUAGGCGGAUGCUUAAGUUGUCAGUGAAAGCCCCCGGCUCAACCGGGGAGAGUCUGGCAAGACUGGGCGUCUGGAGGACAGUAGAGGAGAGUGGAAUUGCUGGUGGAGCGGUGGAAUGCGUAGAGAUCAGCAGGAACACCCGUGGCGAAGGCGGCUCUCUGGACUUGUCCUGACGCUGAGGCGCGAAAGCUGGGGGAGCGAACGGGAUUAGAUACCCCGGUAGUCCCAGCCGUAAACGAUGGUCACUAGGUGUGGGAGGUAUCGACCCCUUCCGUGCCGGAGCUAACGCAAUAAGUGACCCGCCUGGGGAGUACGGCCGCAAGGUUGA
rnacentral:rRNA from 1 species